UGGAACGGAUUGGAGGACGAACUGCGGC
rnacentral:sRNA from 1 species